rnacentral:sRNA from 1 species
AAUCCCUACGGAGCGCUCAGGUCCGCCGCAUCUCCUGGGUCCGUGGGGUAGGCCGGCGAGGAAGGGAGCCGAAGAGUGGCCUCCUCGUGUCGUUCGCUUCCCGCCGGCCGCCUC